GCUGGCGGCCCCUAGCGCGCCCUCCGCCACCGACCAACAAUAUUUUUUAAAAACCCAAGUUUAAUCCCAACACCUAGAGAAGACCACUGCUGAUAUUUUCUGGCGGCAAACCUUCUAAGUAGACACAUUUUGUGGUCAGAGAGCCCUGGUCGUUCAAGUCCUGCACUUUCCCUCGGCCUCUCCUCCUUUUCGUCUGGAGGUGUCUCUGCGGGUUCGUUCUCAGAAAAGGCUGUCACGCUCAUUCACACGGAGGUCACAAAUCUCAUGAAGUGCUUCCACAUGUUUUGAGAAAACUACAAGUUGACCAGAAACUUCCAUUACAAAAGCAUCCAUAUCCCCAAGAGGAAAAUCACAUCCCCCAAAUGCAGGACAAUCAUCAAAUGGGACAAACUGAGGCCAAUAGCGGUGAAGUGAUAAACCCAAGGUCAUUUGGUCAAGCAGAGGCAGGACAGAGCCCGAUCCUGAUCUCCUGGCCCCUCCUUCCUUCAGCCUCUGUCUCUCUGCCACUGAAGUGCCUGUAGGAACCCCUGGUGAGAGUCACCUGCUAACUGAGGAGUUAAUGGAUUUUUCGAGCACAUCAUCCAAGCAGUUUACAGCAAGUGAGAGAAUUCUCGGUCAGUGUGGGCUUCCAGAAGUACGU